rnacentral:rRNA from 1 species
CCCUAGUAACUGCGAGUGAAGCGGGAAAAGCUCAAAUUUAAAAUCUGGCGGUCUUUGGCUGUCCGAGUUGUAAUCUAGAGAAGUGUUAUCCGCGCUGGACCGUGUACAAGUCUCCUGGAAUGGAGCGUCAUAGAGGGUGAGAAUCCCGUCUUUGACACGGACUGCCAGGGCUUUGUGAUGCGCUCUCAAAGAGUCGAGUUGUUUGGGAAUGCAGCUCAAAAUGGGUGGUAAAUUCCAUCUAAAGCUAAAUAUUGGCGAGAGACCGAUAGCGAACAAGUACCGUGAGGGAAAGAUGAAAAGAACUUUGGAAAGAGAGUUAAACAGUACGUGAAAUUGCUGAAGGGGAAACGCUUGAAGUCAGUCGCGUUGGCCGGAACUCAACCUUGCUUUUGCUGGGCGUACUUUCCGGUUGACGGGUCAGCAUCAAUUUUGACCGUUGGAUAAAGGUUAGGGGAAUGUGGCAUCUUCGGAUGUGUUAUAGCCCUUGGUCGCAUACAACGGUUGGGAUUGAGGAACUCAGCACGCCGCAAGGCCGGGUAUUUUACCACGUUCGUGCUUAGGAUGCUGGCAUAAUGGCUUUAAUCGACCCGUCUUGAAACACGGACCAAGGAGUCUAACAUGCCUGCGAGUGUUUGGGUGGAAAACCCGAGCGCGUAAUGAAAGUGAAAGUUGAGAUCCCUGUCGUGGGGAGCAUCGACGCCCGGACCAGACCUUUUGUGACGGAUCCGCGGUAGAGCAUGUAUGUUGGGACCC